AUCACCUAUGAAAUUAUACUAAAACAAUUAUUCACCUCAGGCUCGGUGAUUAUCGUGAAUAAAAACCUCGACUUCGUCUCGGUUUUUAUUCACCGAUAAUCACCUCGCCUUCGGCGAAUAAUUGUUAAUUAAUACCAGUCCAAUUGUUUUCAAAGAAACUACGGUGAUAUAUUUACAAUAAGGAAAGUGCGUAAAGAUAUAAUAGACUAUAACAACAAUUUGGCUUUUCGCUUUGUGCUAAGAAUUCCACUUAUUUAAAUUUGACAGAAGAAAAUACAUUUUCAUUGUAGAUUUAAAUAUUGGAAGAGAUCUAAUUUGCUUAUAUUGCGUCGGAAGACUAUUCCACAGAUCGAUGCCGUUAAGCGUUAUUACAGAGCGUGUGUUUUUUAUAAUUUAUUCUAGUACAACUUUUGUGUAGCAAUGAUGCGUUUCUUGUGUUUUAAUUAUCGAUUUCUUUG